CGGCGUGCUUAACACAUGCAAGUCGAACGGUAAGGCCCUUCGGGUACACGAGUGCACGGUGAUAACACGUGGUGAUCUGCCCUGCACUCUGGGAUAAGCCUGGGAAACUGGCUCUAAUACCGGAUAUGAACUCCUGUCGCAUGGCGGGGGUUGAAAGGUUUACUGGUGCAGGAUGAGCCCGCGGCCUAUCAGCUUGUUGGUGGGUAAUGGCCUACCAAGGCGACGACGGUAGCCGGCCUGAGAGGCGACCGGCCACACUGGGACUGAGACACGGCCCAGACUCCUACGGGAGGCAGCAGUGGGGAAUAUUGCACAAUGGGCGAAAGCCUGAUGCAGCGACGCCGCGUGAGGGAUGACGGCCUUCGGNUUGUAACUUUUUCAGCAGGACGAAGCGAGAGUGACGGUACCUGCAGAAGAAGCACCGGCCAACUACGUGCCAGCAGCCGCGGUAAUACGUAGGGUGCGAGCGUUGUCCGGAAUUACUGGGCGUAAAGAGCUCGUAGGCGGAUUUGUCGCGUCGUCCCGUGAAAACUUGGGGCUCAACCCCCAAGCUUGCGGGCGAUACGGUCAGACUUGAUAUGCAGGGAGACUGGAUUCCUGUUAGCGUGAAUGCGCAGAUAUCAGGAGGACACCGAUGGCGAAGGCGGAUCUCUGGGCAGUAACUGACGCUGAGGAGCGAAAGCGUGGUAGCGAACAGGAUUAGAUACCCUG
rnacentral:rRNA from 1 species